AGGACGAACGCUGGCGGCGUGCUUAACACAUGCAAGUCGAGCGGUAAGGCCUUUCGGGGUACACGAGCGGCGAACGGGUGAGUAACACGUGGGUGAUCUGCCCUGCACUUCGGGAUAAGCCUGGGAAACUGGGUCUAAUACCGGAUAUGACCUCAGGUUGCAUGACUUGGGGGUGGAAAGAUUUAUCGGUGCAGGAUGGGCCCGCGGCCUAUCAGCUUGUUGGUGGGGUAAUGGCCUACCAAGGCGACGACGGGUAGCCGACCUGAGAGGGUGACCGGCCACACUGGGACUGAGACACGGCCCAGACUCCUACGGGAGGCAGCAGUGGGGAAUUUGGACAAUGGGGGAAACCCUGAUCCAGCCAUCCCGCGUGUGCGAUGAAGGCCUCGGUUGUAAGCACUUUGGCUAGGGAGAAACGGCGUGCCUAAUACGGACGUCGACUGACGGUACCUGCAGAAUAAGCACCGGCUAACUACGUGCCAGACAGCCGC
rnacentral:rRNA from 1 species